GUGCUCACUUCAGCAGCAAAAUUGGAAUAGAGAAGAUUAGCACAGCCCUCGCACAAAAAUGAUCUGCAAAUUCAUGAAGCAUUCUAUAUUUUU
rnacentral:snRNA from 1 species